rnacentral:lncRNA from 1 species
UAAUAAAGCUAACAUUUCUUCCUUUUUACUCCAAGUCUCUCAUCUACAAUGUAUUCUUUGUUCCAGGGUCUGAAUCAGACAGGUUCUCCUUUGAAAUCAAUAGAACACAUCACAGUUGGAAACAACAGAGAAAAUUUGGAGGAUACCUGGACAGUAAAGCUUGGAAAAUGGGCAGAAACCAGUAGUAGAUCAAAGCACAUCUCCACCCACAAGAAGCUACUGCUACUAUGGUUAUGGUCUGCGUUUGGGAGAAC